UCGGUGCCGCUUGUUCAUGCAGGCGGAGAAUCGGGAAGGCGGUGCGAUUCCGCCACGUGCCCAACGCUGUAAGGAGGACGUUUGCCGCACAUUGCCACUGGCUUCGGCCGGGAAGGCGCGGCAACGGAUGAAUCCAAGUCAGAAGACCGGCCGGGGGACG
rnacentral:ncRNA from 1 species